rnacentral:rRNA from 1 species
UAGGGAAUUUUCGUCAAUGGGCGCAAGCCUGAACGAGCAAUGCCGCGUGAGUGAGGAAGGCCUUCGGGUCGUAAAGCUCUGUUGCGAGGGAAAAAGGAACGGAAGAGGAAAUGAUUCCGUUUUGAUGGUACCUCGCCAGAAAGUCACGGCUAACUACGUGCCAGCAGCCGCGGUAAUACGUAGGUGGCAAGCGUUAUCCGGAAUGAUUGGGCGUAAAGGGUGCGCAGGCGGCAUAUCAAGUCUGAAGUGAAAGGUACGGGCUCAACCUGUACAGGCUUUGGAAACUGGUAUGCUCGAGGACAGGAGAGGGCGGUGGAACUCCACGUGUAGCGGUAAAAUGCGUAGAGAUGUGGAAGAACACCAGUGGCGAAGGCGGCCGCCUGGCCUGUAACUGACGCUCAGGCACGAAAGCGUGGGGAGCAAAUAGGAUUAGAUACC